UUACCUUCCUGGAACCACGUAUCAUUUAAAACAUCUACUCCUCUGACAUCUAUAACUCCCUUUGUCUAUUUUACCUCUGAAAUAUUCAGUAGGCUAUAGCAGUAAGUUAUUUGCUAUUAUCUAUCUAUAUGUGGUAUUUUCCUAUGCAGCAAUCUUUAAUGCAUUUUGCUGCUAUGCUUUUCAAUUGCUAAUCUCAUGCAUUGUACUUUAUUUUGUCUUUGGACAUUUUCUAUCUUCCUUUCCUCUCCUCUUAAUAGGUUUAUUCAUGAUUCUGCAUUAUUUCUCAGGUAUAUCUCUGUGAUACAGGGUUACCUUCCAUCAAUAGGGGGUGCCUGCAUCCAGUUAAUGGGUUUGUCGCGAUUGCUGUCUUCUGUGACCUCAUCUCAUUCUUAUCAGACUAUCACCCUCCACGGGUUCCUGAUGAAGCCGUAACGGCGAAACUAGUAGAACCUUUCUACGUGGGGUCCGAAGAAGACUAUGUGCAGUUUUUUGCACCACUAGUACUUUUUCUAUUUCUUGUCUGAACAUUUUAAACAUAUGUCAAAGUUUCUAUAUUCUUUCUAUGUUUUUGUAAUAAAUCUUUUUUACUUAA